rnacentral:misc_RNA from 1 species
GAUGAAGAACGCAGCGAAAUGCGAUAAGUAAUGUGAAUUGCAGAAUUCAGUGAAUCAUCGAAUCUUUGAACGCACAUUGCGCCCCUUGGUAUUCCAUGGGGCAUGCCUGUUCGAGCGUCAUUUGUACCUUCAAGCUUUGCUUGGUGUUGGGUGUUUGUCUCGCCUUUGCGUGUAGACUCGCCUUAAAAUAAUUGGCAGCCGGCGUAUUGAUUUCGGAGCGCAGUACAUCUCGCGCUUUGCACUCAUAACGACAGCGUCCAAAAGUACAUUUUACACUCUUGACCUCAGAUCAGGUAGGGAUACCCGCUGAACUUAAGCAUAUCAAUAAGCGGAGGA